ensembl:snRNA U2 U2 spliceosomal RNA
AUGGCUUCUCAGCCUUUUGGCUAAGAUCAAGGGUAGUAUGUGUUCUUAUCAAUUUAAUAUCUGAUAUGUCCUCUAUAUGAGGACUACAUAUUAAAUUGUUUUUUAGAGCAGGGAGAUGGAAGAGGGGCUUGCUCCAUCUGCUCCACGCAUUGACCUGGUAUUGCAGUACCUCCGGGAACGGUGCACCUCCU